AUACGUAGGGUGCGAGCGUUGUCCGGAAUUACUGGGCGUAAAGAGCUCGUAGGAGGUUUGUCGAGUCGUCUGUGAAAUUCCGGGGCUUAACUCCGGGCGUGCAGGCGAUACGGGCAUAACUUGAGUACUGUAGGGGAGACUGGAAUUCCUGGUGUAGCGGUGAAAUGCGCAGAUAUCAGGAGGAACACCGGUAGCGAAGGCGGGUCUCUGGGCAGUAACUGACGCUGAGGAGCGAAAGCAUGGGUAGCGAACAGGAUUAGAUACCCUGGUAGUCCAUGCCGUAAACGGUGGGCGCUAGGUGUAGGGGUCUUCCACGACUUCUGUGCCGUAGCUAACGCAUUAAGCGCCCCGCCUGGGGAGUACGGCCGCAAGGCUAAAACUCAAAGGAAUUGACGGGG
rnacentral:rRNA from 1 species